AGAUUGAACGCUGGCGGCAUGCCUAACACAUGCAAGUCGAACGGGAGUAGCAAUACUCUAGUGGCGGACGGGUGAGGAAUACGUAGGAAUUUGCCCUUAAGUGGGGGAUAACCCGGGGAAACCCGGAUUAAUACCGCAUGACCUCGAAAGAGCAAAGUGGGGGAUCGCAAGACCUCACGCUUUUGGAGAAGCCUACGUCGGAUUAGCUAGUUGGUGAGGUAAUGGCUCACCAAGGCGACGAUCCGUAACUGGUCUGAGAGGAUGAUCAGUCACACCGGAACUGAGACACGGUCCGGACUCCUACGGGAGGCAGCAGUGGGGAAUAGUUGGACAAGUGGGCGCAAGCCUAGAUCCAAGCAAUGCCGCGUGUGGUGAAGGACGGGCCUUGGGUUAGUAAAGCUAACGUUUUAAGGUAGGGAAAGAAAAACGUCGACUAC
rnacentral:rRNA from 1 species